UGUGGGAGCGGGCUUGCCUGCGAUGGGGGAGUGUCAGUCAACUGUUUUAUCAACUGACCCACCGCAAUCGCGGGCAAGCCCGCUCCCACU
rnacentral:misc_RNA from 1 species